rnacentral:rRNA from 1 species
UAGGGAAUCUUCCGCAAUGGGCGAAAGCCUGACGGAGCAACGCCGCGUGAGUGAUGAAGGUCUUCGGAUCGUAAAACUCUGUUAUUAGGGAAGAACAAAUGUGUAAGUAACUAUGCACGUCUUGACGGUACCUAAUCAGAAAGCCACGGCUAACUACGUGCCAGCAGCCGCGGUAAUACGUAGGUGGCAAGCGUUAUCCGGAAUUAUUGGGCGUAAAGCGCGCGUAGGCGGUUUUUUAAGUCUGAUGUGAAAGCCCACGGCUCAACCGUGGAUGGUCAUUGGAAACUGGAAAACUUGGGUGCAGAAGAGGAAAGUGGAAUUCCAUGUGUAGCGGUGAAAUGCGCAGAGAUAUGGAGGAACACCAGUGGCGAAUGCGACUUUCUGGUCUGUAACUGACGCUGAUGUGCGAAAGCGUGGGGAUCAAACAGG